CCUACGGGGUGCACCAUUGGGGAAUUUUCCGCAAUGGGCGAAAGCCUGACGGAGCAAUGCCGCGUGGAGGUAGAAGGCCCACGGGUCGUGAACUUCUUUUCCCGGAGAAGAAGCAAUGACGGUAUCUGGGAAUAAGCAUCGGCUAACUCUGUGCCAGCAGCCGCGGUAAUACAGAGGAUGCAAGCGUUAUCCGGAAUGAUUGGGCGUAAAGCGUCUGUAGGUGGCUUUUUAAGUCCGCCGUCAAAUCCCAGGGCUCAACCCUGGACAGGCGGUGGAAGCUACCAAGCUGGAGUACGGUAGGGGCAGAGGGAAUUUCCGGUGGUGCGGUGAAAUGCGUAGAGAUCGGAAAGGACACCAACGGCGAAAGCACUCUGCUGGGCCGACACUGACACUGAGAGACGAAAGCUAGAGGAGCGAAUGGGAUUAGAUACCCUGGUAGUC
rnacentral:rRNA from 1 species